rnacentral:lncRNA from 10 species
UGGGAUUACAGGCUUGAGCCACCGCGCCCGGCCGAAUAUUUCUUUUACAAAGCUAGGAGGCUCAGUAAGGUUAAAAAUAAUUCAGCUAUAUUGUGUUGAACAUAAUUGAAAUGUCAUAAACCAUCCAGAGAGCAGGAGAACCAGUUCUCUCUUGUUUCUAUUGGACUAGUCUGUUUACAUUUCUGGUCCUGUCACUGAAGCUUGGACUGAGAGACCUGGAAAGGAAUGUUUCCUCUGGAGUUUCGACAGGCACAGCUAUUUGUCACUGCCUCAGAAGCUGCGUGGCUGCAGGGUCUCGCUUGGUUACCCAGGCCGGAGUACAGAGGUUCGAACACAGCUCACUGCAGCCUCAACUUCCUGGGCUCAAGUGAUCUUCCUGCCUCAGUCCCCAGAGUAGCUGGAGCUACAGCCCCACGCCACUACACCCGGCUAACUUUUGUACUUUUUGUAGAGACAGGGUUUUGUCAUAUUGCCCAGGCUGCUCUUGAACUCCUGAGCUUGAGUUUAAGACCAGGUUGCUCAAGUGAUCCACCCACCUUGGCCUCCCAGGGUGCUAGGAUUACAGGCAUGAUCCACCCCUCCUGGUUUAUCUUUCUUAAACUUGGAAUCAUCUUUUUAAAACAGCCACAAGGUAUAAUUGAUAUACAAUACACUGCUUAUAUUUAAAGUGGAUAAUUUGAUAAGUUUUGCCAUAUGUUUACAUCUGUGAAACUGUCACCACAAUCAACAGGGGGAUCAUAUCCAUCACCCACAAAAGUUUUCUCAGGCCUCUUCCCCCUGAGAAAACCCUCCCCCUGGCAGCCACUGAACUGCUUUCUGUCCCUGCAGAUUCGUUUGCAUUUUCUUAAGUUUUAUAUAAACGGAAUCGUAGAGUAUGUGCUCUUCUUUUGUCUGUCUUCUUUCACUCAGCAUAAUUAUUUUUUAGAUUCAUCUGUCUUGUGUUUGUCAAUUUUUUUCUUUUUAUUGAUGAAUAACAUUCCAUUGUAUGGAUAUACCACAUCUGUAUAGUUUGUUUAAUCCAUUAACCUGUUGAUGGACAUUUGGAUCACUUCCAAUUUUUGGCUAUUAAAAUAAAGCUACUCUGAACAUUUGUGUAUGUGCCUUUGUGUUAUUCUUGGGUAUAUAUCCAGGAGUAGAAUGUUGAAUCAUGUGGUAGGUUUUUUUUUUUUUUUUUAAGAUAUGUGGUCUCAUUCUGUCACCCAGGCUGGAGUGCAGUUGCGUGACUGUGGCUCACUAUGGCCUUAAACUCCUGGGCACAGUCCUCCCACCUCAGCCUCCUGAGUAGCUGGGAUUACGGGCGAGAGCCCCUGCAUCCAGCCAGUUAUUUUUAUUAUGACUUUAUCCUUAAUUCAUUGUAUAUUUUAUUUAAUUUUAAUUUUUUUUUUUUCUUUUUUGAGAUGGAGUCUCACUCUGUUGCCCAAGAUGGAGUGCAGUGGGACGAUCUCAGCUCACUGCAACCUCUGCCUCCUAGGUUCAAGCAAUUCUUGUGCCUUGGCCUCCUGAGUAGCUGUGACUACAGGCGCCCACCACCACACCCAGCUAAUUUUUGUAUUUUUGGUAGAGAUGGGGUUUUGCCAUGUUGGCCAAGCCGGUCUUGAACACCUGACCUCAAGUGACCCACCCACUUUGACCUCCCAAAGUGCUUGGAUUACAGGCAUGAACCACUGUGCCUGGCGUCCAUUGUAAAUUUUAAACAAAGGAUGUUUAAUACAGACUUAUUUUUGAUUCAUUAUACAUUUUAAACAUAUAGCUAGUAUGACUUUUACUCCCCUUUCUUUUAGGGGAGAUAAUCACACCAGUAUUCUAUAGAAUAGUAUCAGCACACAAGGCACACUUGCUUCCCUUGGCUUACCUCUGAUUUAAGAUAAUAACUAAAAGGAAUUUAUUGAAUCUAUAGACAUAUGGUAUUUACUUCUGAAUAUAUAUCUCUUCCUCACAUGCAUAUACCUUACAUAAAUCAUUUCUUUUUUUCAGUUAACAUAGUGAUUUAAACAGUUUUAAAACAUCUUUAUUAAGAUUUUAACCUACUACAAAAUUCAACCAUUUAAAGUGUACACAAUUCACUGGUUUUUAGUAGAUUAACAAAGUUGUGCAACCAACACCACAAUCUAAGUUUAGAGUAUUUCACCCCAAAAGAAAACCCAUAUCAAUUCGCAGUCACUUCCCAUUCUCGCCUCCACAUGCCUCAGUUGUAGGCCACUAAUCAUGUGCUUUCUUUUUCUAUGUAUUUACUUAUUCCAGACGUAUAUAAAUGGAGUCAUACAGUAUAUGGUUUUUUGUGACUGGCUUCUUUCACUUAGCACGGUGUUUUCAAUGUUCAUCCACAUUGUAGCAUUUAUCAGUACUUCUUUCCUUUUUUAAAAAAAUAGACUUUAUUUUUUAGAGCUGUUGUAGGUUCACAGCAAAAUUGAGCUGAAAGUACAGGAUGUUCUCAUAUACACCCUGCCCCACUCCAAGUAAACCCUCCCCCAUUAUCACCAUCCAUGCCAUUGGUGCAUUUGUUACUGUCAGUGAACCUACAUUGACAUCAUUAUCACUCAGUCCAUAGUUUACAGUAAGGUUGAUUCACUCUAAUGUAACCCUAAUGUAGGGUUCACAUGGUGGUGUACAUUCUAUGGGUUUGGACAAACCUUUAAUGAUGACAUGUAUCCACCAUUGUAGUGUCAUACAGAGUAGUUUCGCUGCCCUAAAAAUCCUCAGUGUUAGGUUUCAAUUUUUUUGUUUUUUGAGACAGAGUCUCGCCUUGUCACCCAGGUUGGAGUGCAGUGGCCCAAGCUUGGGUCACCGCAACCGCUGCCUCCCAUGUGCAAGCGACACUCCUGUCUCAGCCUCCCAAGUAGGUGGGAUUACAGGCGCCCACCACCAUGCCUGGCUAAUUUUUGUAUUUUUAGUAGAGACAGGGUUUCACCAUAUUGGCCAGGCUAGCCUCGAACUCCUGAUCUUGUGAUACGCCUGCCUCACUCUCCCAAAGUGCUGGGAUUACAGGCAUGAGCCACCAUGCCCGACCUGGAUUGUCUUCAUUCUUUUAGAAGUAUCUUUUGAAGAGCUUAACCUUUAAAUUUUGAUGGAGUUCACUUUAUAUUUAUUUUUUAUGGGUUAUGCUCUUGGUGUCUUAUCUAAGUAAUCUUUGCCCCAAGGCCACAAAAGUUUUCUCCAGUGUUUUCUUUUAGAAGUUUUAUAGUUUUAGGUUAUUCAUUUAGGUCAAUACUCUAUUUUGAAUUUUUUUUUUUUUUUGAGAUGGGGUCUCUCUAUGUUGCCCAGGCUGUUCUUAAACUCCUAGGCUCAAGGGAUCCUUCUGCCUCAGCCUCCCAGGUAGCUGAUACUACAGGCAUGUGCCAGUGCACCCAGCUAGUUAGUUUAAUUUUUGAAUAGGUAAUACUUUCCCUUGCCUGACUUUAAGCUAAUUUUUAUGUAUGGUGUGAGUUAUGGAUCAAAGUUCAUUUCUUUCUUUUUUGCAUGUGGGUAUCUAAUUGUUCCAGAACUGUUUGUUGAAAAAGCUAUCCUUUCUCCACUGGAUUGCCUUGGCACCUUUGUAAAAAAUUAGUUCUCCAUUUAUGUGUGGAUCUAUUUCUGAUUUCCAUAUUCUGUUCCAUUUAUCUAUGUUCCUUAUUUAUACCAAACCACACAGUUUUGAUUCCUGUAGCUUUUAAAUAAAUCUUGAAGUCAGGUAGCAUAAGUCUUCCAGCUUUGCUCUUCUUUUCUUAAAAUAUUUUAUUUUAUUUUAUUUUAGAGACAGGGUCUUGUUCUAUUGCCCAGGCUGAAAUGCAGUGGUGUGAUUACAGCUCACUGCAGUCAUUAAUUCUUGGGCUCAAGCAAUACUCCCACCUCAGCCUCCCAUGUAGCUGGUCCCACAGGUGUGUACCACUAAGGCCCAGUUGAUUUUUUGAUUUUUUGUAGAGACAGCCUCACCGUGUUGCUCAGGCUGGUCUGAAACUCCUGGACUCAAGCGACCCUCCCACUUUAGCCACCUAAAGUGCUGAGAUUAGAGGUGUAACCUGAGGCACCCAGCCAAGAUGGUUAGAAUUAUCUUUGUUUUUUUUUUUUUUGAGAUGGAGUUUCGCUCUUGUUGCCCAGGCUGGAGUGCAAUGGCACCAUCUUGGCUCACUGCAAC